rnacentral:rRNA from 1 species
AGAGUUUGAUCCUGGCUCAGAUUGAACGCUGGCGGAACGCUUUACACAUGCAAGUCGAACGGUAACGCGGGGAGAAGCUUGCUUCUCUCCGGCGACGAGUGGCGAACGGGUGAGUAAUACAUCGGAACGUGUCCGCUCGUGGGGGACAACCAGCCGAAAGGUUGGCUAAUACCGCAUGAGUUCUACGGAAGAAAGAGGGGGACCCGCAAGGGCCUCUCGCGAGCGGAGCGGCCGAUGACUGAUUAGCCGGUUGGUGAGGUAACGGCUCACCAAAGCAACGAUCAGUAGCUGGUCUGAGAGGACGACCAGCCACACUGGGACUGAGACACGGCCCAGACUCCUACGGGAGGCAGCAGUGGGGAAUUUUGGACAAUGGGGGAAACCCUGAUCCAGCCAUGCCGCGUGCGGGAUGAAGGCCUUCGGGUUGUAAACCGCUUUUGUCAGAGACGAAAAGGGACGUACGAAUAAUACGUUCCGCUGACGGUAUCUGAAGAAUAAGCACCGGCUAACUACGUGCCAGCAGCCGCGGUAAUACGUAGGGUGCAAGCGUUAUCCGGAAUUAUUGGGCGUAAAGGGCUCGUAGGCGGUUCGUCGCGUCCGGUGUGAAAGUCCAUCGCUUAACGGUGGAUCUGCGCCGGGUACGGGCGGGCUGGAGUGCGGUAGGGGAGACUGGAAUUCCCGGUGUAACGGUGGAAUGUGUAGAUAUCGGGAAGAACACCAAUGGCGAAGGCAGGUCUCUGGGCCGUUACUGACGCUGAGGAGCGAAAGCGUGGGGAGCGAACAGGAUUAGAUACCCUGGUAGUCCACGCCGUAAACGGUGGAUGCUGGAUGUGGGGCCCGUUCCACGGGUUCCGUGUCGGAGCUAACGCGUUAAGCAUCCCGCCUGGGGAGUACGGCCGCAAGGCUAAAACUCAAAGAAAUUGACGGGGGCCCGCACAAGCGGCGGAGCAUGCGGAUUAAUUCGAUGCAACGCGAAGAACCUUACCUGGGCUUGACAUGUUCCCGACAGCCGUAGAGAUAUGGCCUCCCUUCGGGGCGGGUUCACAGGUGGUGCAUGGUCGUCGUCAGCUCGUGUCGUGAGAUGUUGGGUUAAGUCCCGCAACGAGCGCAACCCUCGCCCUGUGUUGCCAGCACGUCAUGGUGGGAACUCACGGGGGACCGCCGGGGUCAACUCGGAGGAAGGUGGGGAUGACGUCAGAUCAUCAUGCCCCUUACGUCCAGGGCUUCACGCAUGCUACAAUGGCCGGUACAACGGGAUGCGACACGGCGACGUGGAGCGGAUCCCUGAAAACCGGUCUCAGUUCGGAUUGGAGUCUGCAACCCGACUCCAUGAAGGCGGAGUCGCUAGUAAUCGCGGAUCAGCAACGCCGCGGUGAAUGCGUUCCCGGGCCUUGUACACACCGCCCGUCAAGUCAUGAAAGUGGGUAGCACCCGAAGCCGGUGGCCUAACCCUUUGUGGAUGGAGCCGUCUAAGGUGAGACUCGUGAUUGGGACUAAGUCGUAACAAGGUAGCCGUACCGGAAGGUGCGGCUG